rnacentral:sRNA from 1 species
AAAUCCAGUAAUAAGAGGUGGUAUAUGUGUUCAUUGCUUUGUGUUUGACAUGGAAGAAAGAGAGAUAGAUGUUUGAUCGUCUUUGUUCAAUAGACACGCACACUACACGAUCACUCAAACUUUCGGUUUUCUCUCGCUUUCCUCUCCUUUCUCCUCCACCCUUCAUUGUUGGAAAUAUUAUGGAACGCUUUGUUUUAUUCAAUCUUUAUUGCUUCGUCCUUUGUGUGAUUGAAUGACUUUCUUUUCUUGACGCACUCCUUUUUUUUUGGUCUCUUCCUGGCCCCCGCGCACUGCGCCGCGCCCCGCUCGUCGAUGUUGGGAUUAUCUCCCAAUCAAGCUGACGACCGAUCGCAAAUACAUCAAUUUCCUCCCAUAUUUUCUCCCGUUGCUUAAUUUUUCUGAUAACAUCACUUAGAACUCUUUGAUCUCUAUCUCUAUGGCUCACUCUCCGUCGUCUUCGAAUGAGGUGUUGGGGGCUGCGGCUGGUUGGUACGUACUGUAUGUAUAUGGACAGUACAUGGACAUAAAUGUAUAGUACUGUACAAUGAGCUUUGUUGGCACAGGGAAAAAGGGAUUUAGAAAAGUGGAGAAAGCAGCUGAAGAAAGAAUGAAAGAGGAGAUACCUAGAUUGAUUGAUUGAUUGAUUGAUUGAGUUGCGUAGGGACACGGGGGCGAGUAAUUGUCUCUUUACUAUCUUUUCUCUCUUAUUUGUGCCUUUUUCUUCCUGGGGGGGGGGGAUUUCCUUUGGAUUUCCUUUGUUUCCCAUCUGUCCCUGAAUAUGAUUGUUAAUGGAGG